AUGAUUUCGAAGUUUAAAACCUUCUUAUAACUGUUGAUAUUUACAGAACUCUAACUAGAAGACAUACAUCAAUGUCGAUCAUUGAUUGGGAAAAGUCUCGCUAAUUAUCCACACUCUUCAUUCAUCAAGCCCCGUACAAUUUCUCCGACAAAUUACACGUUACGCCUUGUUUCACUGGCAGAUUCGUCGAUGCCGAUGAUUAAUACUGCGAAUAACCGAUUGAAUUGGCAAACACCGGCGCGCAGUUAGGAACGUCUGUCGUCACAAUAGGCUGAAACCCUCUGCGGGAAUCAAACAUAAACGAACGUGCGGUCCCGACGAUUGGAUUUUGAACGGAACACCGCUCUCGAUCUCUUGCAUGCGAGACGAAGAUAUGACUUGACGAAGGAAGGUCUUUCGAGAGAUACAAGGACUAGAAAUCAAUCACUAUGCUAGAUUCAAGUUUCAGAUUCGACGUUGAGACGUGCAAAAGAGUGAAAUCGGGCAGGUUCGUAAGAAAAGAG
rnacentral:misc_RNA from 1 species